rnacentral:rRNA from 1 species
UACGGAGGAUCCAAGCGUUAUCCGGAAUCAUUGGGUUUAAAGGGUCCGUAGGUGGAUAAUUAAGUCAGGGGUGAAAGUCUGCAGCUCAACUGUAGAAUUGCCUUUGAUACUGGUUAUCUUGAAUUAUUAUGAAGUAGUUAGAAUAUGUAGUGUAGCGGUGAAAUGCAUAGAUAUUACAUAGAAUACCAAUUGCGAAGGCAGAUUACUAAUAAUCAAUUGACACUGAUGGACGAAAGCGUGGGUAGCGAACAGG